rnacentral:rRNA from 1 species
GUACACUCCUACGGAAGGCAGCAGUGGGGAAUUUUACGCAAUGGGGGAAACCCUGACGUAGCGACACCGCGUGAGCGAAGAAGCCCUUUGGGGUGUAAAGCUCUGUCAGCUGGAACGAAAACAAUGACGGUACCAGCAGAGGACGCAUCGGCUAACUACGUGCCAGCAGCCGCGGUAAGACGUAGGAUGCGAGCGUUGUCCGGAUUUAUUGGGCGUAAAGAGUUCGUAGAUGGUUUGUUAAGUUUGGUGUUAAAGAUCGGGGCUCAACCCUGGGACUGCACUGAAUACUGGCAGACUCGAGUGUGGUAGAGGCUAGUGGAAUUCCCAGUGUAGCGGUGAAAUGCGUAGAUAUUGGGAAGAACACCGGUGGCGUAGGCGACUAGCUGGGCCAUAACUGACGCUGAGGAACGAAAGCCAGGGGAGCGAAUGGGAUUAGAAACCCUAGUAGUCCCAUGAU